ACACAGAUGGAAAUACUGUUCAAAGAGAUCCAGCUGCUGAGGAGAAAGGAAGAAAUAUUGAAAGAUGCAAAUCAAUAUCUCAAAGAUAAGAUAGAGGAUACUGUUGAGAUUAGUAACUUUGCACCAAUGACCACUAAUACUCCAUAUCCACUAACUAUACAAAAUGAAAUAUUUGAGUUUUAAUUAGGAAUAGUGUGUGAUGGGCAUGCAGCAGUUCUUUCUGAGAUGUUUUGGCUCAGCAUUUGAGCUUCAUGAAUUGUUAUAAUUAAUAUCAAAUUAUAUAUAUGUCUAGGUUGCCCAUUACAUGGAAAAUUGGCAAUAAUGUUGUCCUCAAACAAAAUACUGUUACAGACAGUUUCAAUAUAAUUAAUUAUGAGGUUUGAUAUUAA